rfam:Rattus norvegicus chromosome X, whole genome shotgun sequence.
GGGAAUUUAGCUCAGUGGUAGAGCGCUUGCCUAGCAAGCACAAGACCGUGGGUUCGGUCCUCAGUCCCCC